rnacentral:rRNA from 1 species
UUUUAUGGAGAGUUUGAUCCUGGCUCAGGAUGAACGCUGGCGGCGUGCCUAAUACAUGCAAGUCGAGCGAACGGACGAGAAGCUUGCUUCUCUGAUGUUAGCGGCGGACGGGUGAGUAACACGUGGAUAACCUACCUAUAAGACUGGGAUAACUUCGGGAAACCGGAGCUAAUACCGGAUAAUAUUUUGAACCGCAUGGUUCAAAAGUGAAAGACGGUCUUGCUGUCACUUAUAGAUGGAUCCGCGCUGCAUUAGCUAGUUGGUAAGGUAACGGCUUACCAAGGCAACGAUGCAUAGCCGACCUGAGAGGGUGAUCGGCCACACUGGAACUGAGACACGGUCCAGACUCCUACGGGAGGCAGCAGUAGGGAAUCUUCCGCAAUGGGCGAAAGCCUGACGGAGCAACGCCGCGUGAGUGAUGAAGGUCUUCGGAUCGUAAAACUCUGUUAUUAGGGAAGAACAUAUGUGUAAGUAACUGUGCACAUCUUGACGGUACCUAAUCAGAAAGCCACGGCUAACUACGUGCCAGCAGCCGCGGUAAUACGUAGGUGGCAAGCGUUAUCCGGAAUUAUUGGGCGUAAAGCGCGCGUAGGCGGUUUUUUAAGUCUGAUGUGAAAGCCCACGGCUCAACCGUGGAGGGUCAUUGGAAACUGGAAAACUUGAGUGCAGAAGAGGAAAGUGGAAUUCCAUGUGUAGCGGUGAAAUGCGCAGAGAUAUGGAGGAACACCAGUGGCGAAGGCGACUUUCUGGUCUGUAACUGACGCUGAUGUGCGAAAGCGUGGGGAUCAAACAGGAUUAGAUACCCUGGUAGUCCACGCCGUAAACGAUGAGUGCUAAGUGUUAGGGGGUUUCCGCCCCUUAGUGCUGCAGCUAACGCAUUAAGCACUCCGCCUGGGGAGUACGACCGCAAGGUUGAAACUCAAAGGAAUUGACGGGGACCCGCACAAGCGGUGGAGCAUGUGGUUUAAUUCGAAGCAACGCGAAGAACCUUACCAAAUCUUGACAUCCUUUGACAACUCUAGAGAUAGAGCCUUCCCCUUCGGGGGACAAAGUGACAGGUGGUGCAUGGUUGUCGUCAGCUCGUGUCGUGAGAUGUUGGGUUAAGUCCCGCAACGAGCGCAACCCUUAAGCUUAGUUGCCAUCAUUAAGUUGGGCACUCUAAGUUGACUGCCGGUGACAAACCGGAGGAAGGUGGGGAUGACGUCAAAUCCCAUCAUGCCCCUUAUGAUUUGGGCUACACACGUGCUACAAUGGACAAUACAAAGGGCAGCGAAACCGCGAGGUCAAGCAAAUCCCAUAAAGUUGUUCUCAGUUCGGAUUGUAGUCUGCAACUCGACUACAUGAAGCUGGAAUCGCUAGUAAUCGUAGAUCAGCAUGCUACGGUGAAUACGUUCCCGGGUCUUGUACACACCGCCCGUCACACCACGAGAGUUUGUAACACCCGAAGCCGGUGGAGUAACCUUUUAGGAGCUAGCCGUCGAAGGUGGGACAAAUGAUUGGGGUGAAGUCGUAACAAGGUAGCCGUAUCGGAAGGUGCGGCUGGAUCACCUCCUUUCU